AUUGAACGCUGGCGGCAGGCUUAACACAUGCAAGUCGAGCGGAGAGAGGUAGCUUGCCACUGAUCUUAGCGGCGGACGGGUGAGUAAUGCUUAGGAAUCUGCCUAUUAGUGGGGGACAACAUUUCGAAAGGAAUGCUAAUACCGCAUACGUCCUACGAGAGAAAGCAGGGGAUCUUCGGACCUUGCGCUAAUAGAUGAGCCUAAGUCGGAUUAGCUAGUUGGUGAGGUAAAGGCCUACCAAGGCGACGAUCUGUAGCGGGUCUGAGAGGAUGAUCCGCCACACUGGGACUGAGACACGGCCCAGACUCCUACGGGAGGCAGCAGUGGGGAAUAUUGGACAAUGGGCGCAAGCCUGAUCCAGCCAUGCCGCGUGUGUGAAGAAGGCCUUAUGGUUGUAAAGCACUUUAAGCGAGGAGGAGGCUACUUUAGUUAAUACCUAGAGAUAGUGGACGUUACUCGCAGAAUAAGCACCGGCUAACUCUGUGCCAGCCGCCGCCGUAAGAC
rnacentral:rRNA from 1 species